GAUGAACGCUGGCGGCGUGCCUAAUACAUGCAAGUCGAACGCAUAGCGAAAGGUGCUUGCACCUUUCAAGUGAGUGGCGAACGGGUGAGUAACACGUGGACAACCUGCCUCAAGGCUGGGGAUAACAUUUGGAAACAGAUGCUAAUACCGAAUAAAACUUAGUGUCGCAUGACACAAAGUUAAAAGGCGCUUCGGCGUCACCUAGAGAUGGAUCCGCGGUGCAUUAGUUAGUUGGUGGGGUAAAGGCCUACCAAGACAAUGAUGCAUAGCCGAGUUGAGAGACUGAUCGGCCCCAUUGGGACUGAGCCACGGCCCAAACUCCUACGGGAGGCUGCAGUAGGGAAUCUUCCACAAUCGGCGAAAGCCUGAUGGAGCAACGCCGCGUGUGUGAUGAAGGCUUUCGGGUCGUAAAGCACUGUUGUAUGGGAAGAACAGCUAGAAUAGGAAAUGAUUUUAGUUUGACGGUACCAUACCAGAAAGGGACGGCUAAAUACGUG
rnacentral:rRNA from 1 species